AGUGAACGCUGGCGGUAGGCCUAACACAUGCAAUUCGAACGGCAGCACAUUAAGAGCUUGCUCUUACGGGUGGCGAGUGGCGGACUGGUGAGGAAUACAUCUGAAUCUACUUUUUCGUGGGGGAUAACGUAGGGAAACUUACGCUAAUACCGCAUACGACCUACGGGUGAAAGCAUGGGAUCUUCGGACCUUGCGCGAUUGAAUGAGCCGAUGUCGGAUUAGAUAGUUGGCGGGGUAAAGGCCCACCAAGGCGACGAUCCGUAGCUGGUCUGAGAGGAGGAUAAGCGACACUGGAACUGAGACACGGUCCAGACUCCUACGGGAGGCAGCAGUGGGGAAUAUUGGACAAUGGGCGCAAGCCUGAUCCAGCCAGACCGCGUGGGUGAAGAAGGCCUUCGGGUUGUAAAGCCCUUUUGUUGGGAAAGAAAAGCAGCAGGUUAAUACCCCGCUGUUCUGACGGUACCCAAAGAAUAAGCACCGGCUAACUUCGUG
rnacentral:rRNA from 1 species